GUGAACGCUGGCGGUAGGCCUAACACAUGCAAGUCGAACGGCAGCACAGUAAGAGCUUGCUCUUACGGGUGGCGAGUGGCGGACGGGUGAGGAAUACAUCGGAAUCUACUUUUUCGUGGGGGAUAACGUAGGGAAACUUACGCUAAUACCGCAUACGACCUACGGGUGAAAGCAGGGGAUCUUCGGACCUUGCGCGAUUGAAUGAGCCGAUGUCGGAUUAGCUAGUUGGCGGGGUAAAGGCCCACCAAGGCGACGAUCCGUAGCUGGUCUGAGAGGAUGAUCAGCCACACUGGAACUGAGACACGGUCCAGACUCCUACGGGAGGCAGCAGUGGGGAAUAUUGGACAAUGGGCGCAAGCCUGAUCCAGCCAUACCGCGUGGGUGAGGAAGGCCUUCGGGCUGUAAAGCCCUUUUGUUGGGAAAGAAAAGCAGCAGGUUAAUACCCCGCUGUUCUGACGGUACCCAAAGAAUAAGCACCGGCUAACUUCGUG
rnacentral:rRNA from 1 species